AGAGAAUUAAAUCACUUUNAUAGAAAUGACAGAAAGGAAGAUGAUGGGGAGGCUUCUCAAGACAGACGAGCAGGAAUAUACGAUGGUUUUAGUGAAACACAGACAGAAUCUCAGGUUGUUAGUUAUGAAGAAGAUUUGUCAGGAAGGCAAAGCCUUAUAGAUAAAUACCGAACUCGAAGUAGCACGCAGUGAAUAGGAACAAGAAUCUGUCUUGACCUGGUUUCAAAACAUAAAGAUAAAAGAAGAAAACUCAACCUUGGUCAGCUAACGAAGGGAACAUCAGCACAUCAGCAGCUUAGUAUAGGUCAAUCAAUUAUGUCUGUUUUAUUAUCUCUUUCUCAUCUCCAAAAUAAAAAUUCAUCUCCAUAUUCAUAGCAACAAAUAAGAUUUUUAUCUGAUUCUUCCCUACCCGUUAAAGGGUAUAAUUAUA